rnacentral:rRNA from 1 species
AACGAACGCUGGCGGCAUGCCUAACACAUGCAAGUCGAACGAGACCUUCGGGUCUAGUGGCGCACGGGUGCGUAACGCGUGGGAACCUGCCCUUAGGUUCGGAAUAACUCCCCGAAAGGGGUGCUAAUACCGGAUAAUGUCUUCGGACCAAAGAUUUAUCGCCUUUGGAUGGGCCCGCGUUGGAUUAGCUAGUUGGUAGGGUAAAAGCCUACCAAGGCGACGAUCCAUAGCUGGUCUGAGAGGAUGAUCAGCCACACUGGGACUGAGACACGGCCCAGACUCCUACGGGAGGCAGCAGUGGGAAAUAUUGGACAAUGGGCGAAAGCCUGAUCCAGCAAUGCCGCGUGAGUGAUGAAGGCCUUAGGGUUGUAAAGCUCUUUUACCCGGGAUGAUAAUGACAGUACCGGGAGAAUAAGCUCCGGCUAACUCCGUG